AGAGUUUGAUCAUGGCUCAGGAUGAACGCUAGCGGCAGGCUUAAUACAUGCAAGUCGUGGGGCAGCAGGAGUAGCAAUACUUGCUGGCGACCGGCAAACGGGUGCGUAACACGUACGCAACCUUCCUACAGGCGGGGAAUAGCCCAGAGAAAUUUGGAUUAAUACCCCAUAAAAUUUUGAGAUGGCAUCAUCUUAUUAUUAAAGCUUCGGCACCUGAAGAUGGGCGUGCGGCUGAUUAGGUAGUUGGCGGGGUAACGGCCCACCAAGCCUUCGAUCAGUAGCUGAUGUGAGAGCAUGAUCAGCCACACGGGCACUGAGACACGGGCCCGACUCCUACGGGAGGCAGCAGUAAGGAAUAUUGGUCAAUGGACGAAAGUCUGAACCAGCCAUGCCGCGUGGAGGAUGAAGGUCCUCUGGAUUGUAAACUUCUUUUAUUUGGGACGAAAAAAGGGCAUUCUUGCUCACUUGACGGUACCAGAUGAAUAAGCACCGGCUAACUCCGUGCCAGCAGCCGCGGUAAUACGGAGGGUGCAAGCGUUAUCCGGAUUCACUGGGUUUAAAGGGUGCGUAGGCGGGCGUGUAAGUCAGCGGUGAAAUCCCCGAGCUUAACUUGGGAACUGCCGUUGAUACUAUAUGUCUUGAAUGUCGUGGAGGUUAGCGGAAUAUGUCAUGUAGCGGUGAAAUGCUUAGAUAUGACAUAGAACACCCAUUGCGAAGGCAGCUAACUACGCGAAUAUUGACGCUGAGGCACGAAAGCGUGGGGAUCAAACAGGAUUAGAUACCCUAGUAGUCC
rnacentral:rRNA from 1 species